rnacentral:rRNA from 1 species
GUAGGUGGCAAGCGUUGUCCGGAAUUAUUGGGCGUAAAGCGCGCGCAGGCGGUUCUUUAAGUCUGAUGUGAAAGCCCACGGCUCAACCGUGGAGGGUCAUUGGAAACUGGAGAACUUGAGUACAGAAGAGGAAAGCGGAAUUCCACGUGUAGCGGUGAAAUGCGUAGAGAUGUGGAGGGACACCAGUGGCGAAGGCGGCUUUCUGGUCUGUAACUGACGCUGAGGCGCGAAAGCGUGGGGAGCAAACAGGGAUUAGAUACCCUGGUAGUCCACGCCGUAAACGAUGAGUGCUAAGUGUUAGGGGGGUUUCCGCCCCCCUUAGUGCUGCAGCUAACGCAUUAAGCACUCCGCCUGGGAGUACGGCCGCAAGGCUG